CUCUAAGUGGCCCCAGGGGUUCAGGGAAAGCAGAAAGAUUUGUUGCCCCAGAAUUUAAUUAGAUGCUGCUAUUCACUGUAAGGUGGGGUCUGCUUUAAAUAUGACAGGCAGCUCUUUCAAAACAGCUGGAGGUGGAGAGGAAGGUGGAGGAGUACAGGAUGAGUUUCUUUCUUCAACAAGAGAGAGGGAGUGGGGAGGUGCAUGACACUGAAUCAUAUCUGCACUCUUUUGUAUUGAAAAAUAGACUGAGGAGAGGCUCUGCUCCUGACACAGGCCCUCAGCCAGCGGGUGCCUGGGGAUGUUCAGAGACCAUGAAACCAUCCUGCAUGACUUGCUGCCAUUAGGAGCCUCUCAUGAAGCACUUCUUGCUAGAUUCAGUACUGACAUUGAGAGAAGAUUCAAACCCCAGAAGCUGUCACAGAGUUGUGUUUGGAACUGAUGUGUCCUGAAUGUUCAGUGUAAUUCCCUCUGGUUAAGGUUUUGCCUACGUCACCUUUCAAAAUAUUUAACUUAAAUCUUGACUUGUCAUUGGAUAACUUAUCUGCAGAAUCUUGGUAUCAGGGCUGUUGCAACCAAAACAGACUGAGGAAGUAAUAUAACCAGGUCUGUGAGAAGAAAAAAAACCCUUUAAUAGAUCAACUGUUACACUUUCCAUGGAAAACAUUCAGACUCAAGCUUUUCUUACAGUAAGAACCAGAAAUAACUAAGAAACUUUUGGGAUCUUGCAAUCUCAUUUUGUAAAAAUAUGAAAUUCCUGGAUUCUGGCCACAGAGAUUUGACAAUUUUCAAAGACAUCACUUCCACAGAGUUUCUAUAACAGCUGUAGUGAGGCUUUAUUUAGCCAAAUGCCUGUAAUACAUGUUUAUCUCCCUUGCAGUACUGAGCCAGAUGUCAAGUGGAAGGCUUGGAGUGAUUUUUUUUUAGUUUUUAGAUUGACUGAAACUUUUUUUUGUCUUUCCAGUGUGGUGGUGCAGAAAUCAUUGAGCUGCACUUUGACAUUAAUGGGAAGAUCUCAGAUGGAGCUAAGGGCUGAAAUAGAGACUCCUUUUAAGGUUUUUCCUUCUUGA
rnacentral:lncRNA from 1 species